rnacentral:rRNA from 1 species
CACGUAGGUGGCAAGCGUUGUCCGGAUUUAUUGGGUUUAAAGGGUGCGUAGGCGGUCAAAUAAGUCAGUGGUGAAAUACGGCAGCUUAACUGUCGAGGUGCCAUUGAUACUGCUUGACUUGAGUACUGAUGAGGUAGGCGGAAUGGACGGUGUAGCGGUGAAAUGCUUAGAGAUCGUCCAUAACGCCGAUAGCGAAGGCAGCUUACUAAGGAGUAUCUGACGCUGAGGCACGAAAGUGUGGGGAUCAAACAGG